rnacentral:piRNA from 1 species
UGCCAUGAUAAAACACUGACCACAAGCAAUG